rnacentral:rRNA from 1 species
GCGAGCGUUGUCCGGAAUCACUGGGCGUAAAGGGUGCGUAGGCGGCUUCUUAAGUCCUUGUGAAAUGCCCCGGCUCAACCGGGGAGGGCCAUGGGAAACUGGGGAGCUCGAGUGCCGGAGAGGGCCGUGGAAUUCCAGGUGUAGCGGUGGAAUGCGUAGAUAUCUGGAGGAACACCAGUGGCGAAGGCGGCGGCCUGGACGGUUACUGACGCUGAGGCACGACAGCUGGGGGAGCAAACAGGAUUAGAUACCCUGGUAGUCCCAGCCGUAAACGAUGAGUGCUAGGUGUUGCGNGUAUCGACCCCUGCAGUGCCGUAGCUAACGCA